UAUGAUCCAGAGUACCACGGGACACGUGAAACCCUGUGGGAAGCAGGAGGGACCACCCUCCAAGGCUAAAUACUACCUAGUGACCGAUAGCGUAUAGUACCGUGAGGGAAAGGUGAAAAGAACCCCGGGAGGGGAGUGAAAUAGAACCUGAAACCCUGCACUUACAAGCUGUGGAAGCACAUUUCUUGUGUGACCGCGUACUUUUUGUAGAACGGGCCAACGAGUUACGUUAAGUAGCAAGGUUAAGCACUUAAGGUGCGGAGCCGUAGCGAAAGCGAGUUUUAACGGAGCGUUCAGUUACUUGACGUAGACCCGAAACCGGGCGACCUACCCAUGAGCAGGAUGAAGCGAAAGUAAAAUUUCGUGGAGGUCCGAACCCACGGGCGUUGAAAAGCUCGGGGAUGACUUGUGGGUAGCGGUGAAAUUCCAAUCGAGCCCGGAGAUAGCUGGUUCUCCCCGAAAUAGCUUUAGGGCUAGCCUCAAGGUGAGAGAUACGGAGGUAGAGCACUG
rnacentral:rRNA from 1 species